AACGCAAAUUGCACUCUCUGGCAUUCCGGAGAGUAUGCCUAUUUGAGGGUCAACAGAAUAAAAAUCGAUGCGUCGCUUUUUUUUAAGCGACGCGUCGGAAUUGGGUCCUCUUAAUCAUUCAUUUUUUUAAGUGACCUAAAAUUUACGCGUUUCGGUAUGAUUGCGUACUUAAAUCUUUUCGUCGUUUGAAUACCGAACCUUAUUAGAUCGUGACCAUCCGAUGGUAUCGCGUCUAUAAUUUUUUUGAAAUUUGACCUCAAAUUAGGUAAGAGUACCCGCUGAAACUUAAGC
rnacentral:misc_RNA from 1 species